GACGAACGCUGGCGGCGUGCUUAACACAUGCAAGUCGAACGGAAAGGCCCUGCUUUUGUGGGGUGCUCGUGUGGCGAACGGGUGAGUAACACGUGAGUAACCUGCCCUUGAAUGUGGGAUAACUUCAGGAAACUGGGGCUAAUAUCGGAUAGGAGCUCCUGCUGCAUGGUGGGGGUUGGAAAGUUUCGGCGGUUGGGGAUGGACUCGCGGCUUAUCCGCUUGUUGGUGGGGUAGUGGCUUACCAAGGCUUUGACGGGUAGCCGGCCUGAGAGGUUGACCGGCCACAUUGGGACUGAGAUACGGCCCAGACUCCUACGGGAGGCAGCAGUGGGGAAUAUUGCACAAUGGGCGGAAGCCUGAUGCAGCAACGCCGCGUGCGGGAUGACGGGCUUCGGGUUGUAAACCGCUUUCGCCUGUGACGAAGCGUGAGUGACGGUAAUGGGUAAAGAAGCACCGGCUAACUACGUG
rnacentral:rRNA from 1 species